UACGAAGGGGGCUAGCGUUGUUCGGAAUUACUGGGCGUAAAGCGCACGUAGGCGGAUUGUUAAGUCGGGGGUGAAAUCCCAGGGCUCAACCCUGGAACUGCCUUCGAUACUGGCAUUCUUGAGUCCGAGAGAGGUGAGUGGAAUUCCGAGUGUAGAGGUGAAAUUCGUAGAUAUUCGGAAGAACACCAGUGGCGAAGGCGGCUCACUGGCUCGGAACUGACGCUGAGGUGCGAAAGCGUGGGGAGCAAACAGG
rnacentral:rRNA from 2 species